UACACUACUUUAUGUAUUGAUUUUAUAAACAUCAAAUAAUAUUGAUUUUAAAAUUGAUUUUAUAUACAUGCAAUAUUACAUUUUUCUAAUCAAGUGUACAUAAAAUUACAAACAUUAACUUCGGGAAUUGAGACUAGUACUCUGUUCGCUUGUUAUUCUAUUUUCAAGAUGCGGCAAGAGUGCAACUUCUUCAAUUUCUUCGCAUGGUACCACCAAUACACCACAAUCCAAAGUUAAGAUAAUAAUUUAGCUUUGGAAGAACAAAAUCAAAGAUGGAGAGAAUUUUAUGAACCUUAUUUAAAAUUGUUAAGUUAAUUCUAUGCAUUGGUUAUAUUUCGUGAUCGUCACGAAAUUGGAACAAUUACACAAGUUCAGAUAAAACGUGAACUCAUGUGAAAUUUCAUGAAUUCUUCAAAGCAGAUUAUCCAAAUAACACAAAAACACAUCAAAACAAAUUCAAUAGAUCAUAUGGCAAUACUGUGUAAUAAACACACAUUAAUCACAUGAUAAAUAUUCCUAUAAGCCAUGCAAUUACUGAGCUACUGUAUCUCACAAAUCUAACCAAACCCAGGUACCAGAUAUAAGAGGGAGAUCAGAAGAGUAAAAAAAAAGGUGUUAUCUGUCACUGUUCAAUCAGAAACACGGACCAAUUUCGUUCAUCACAUCUCCCAAACUAUAAGCAAAACAUCAAAAUUCCAGAAAUAAAUCUUGCACCAAAACCGAAUUCAGUUACAUAUAUAUAAAGUAAUCAUCAGAGACUUAAAUACUACGAAUCAUGGAAUUAACCAUCAUAUUGUUGCAGUUUUUUUCUCAUCGUUUGAUUUUGACUAAAUAAGUAUACAUAUACAUCUAAAUUGAUCAUAAAUAAUAAUGUAUCAUCGUUUACUGAACCAUUCCAUCAUAAAUAAAGUCAAGUGGUUCACCCAAUAACAAUGCAUUUCUUGAUAUCCCUGACAUUUACGAGAGACCCAUUCUCAAAGAAGGCAAUAGAUCCCUGCUUUUUUAAUCAGGUUUUCUGAAAAGUAAGAGAAAAAGCUCAGAAGCCAAGCGUAACAAGAAAAUUUCAUUGAAGAUCCAAGCUGAUCCAAGCUUAAAAUAGAUCUCCUUACAUGUUCGCUAUCUCAUCAAUGCUUAAAAUAAUUUGACUACUAUUAAUUUGAAAGAAUGCUGGGAAUAAAACAGAACAUCCUUCAAUCGUGAUAAGUAGCAUUGUCUAGGCACCGUGCAAAAGGCAAAUUCUCAUAGAAAUAAGAAGAAAAUACCCGUUGUCUGAGAUAUGCCAUUGAAAAUAAUAUGUAUACAUAAAUAUAUCCAAGAUAUUGUGUCAAGAGAGUACAAUUAACUCUAAUGGAUCUUCAUCUUGGAUUUGUUUAGGCUUCAUGCGGCAGACGGGUUACCAUUAACCGGCACCUGCUGCAGACUCCUGUGUGAAGCCAUAAUCAAGCAGAAGAAAUUCCGUGACUCAUAACCAUUACCGAAAAUUCAAAUAAUGUAAACAUAUAAGUUGCAAACAAUAAAUGAUACAAUAAAAAGUUAAAAUUUUGCUCAGAUACAUGAAUAUCUUCUCAUAGAUUUCUCUCUGAAGUCUGACAUGUGAAAUUUUCAUGAAUUCAUCACAGCAGAAGACACAUAAUUUUCAAAAAAAAUUACAAUAAAACAGUUUCACACAUAGCUCUCAUACUAGAAAAAAAAUUAUCAUACUCAUGUUUUAGAUCGGUAUAGCGUAUAUUGCCAAAAGGCAUACAAUCAUUGAGCUAUUUUUCACAAAUGUGGCAAUUAAACAUAAAAAUAUAAUUGGGAGAUCAGUAGAGUAAAAAAGAAAGGUGUUAUCUGUCACUGUUCAAUCAGAAACACGGACCAAUUUCGUUCAUCAUAUCUCCCAAAUACCAUAACUAAAACAUCAACAUUCCAGAAAUUAAUAAGCACCAAACCAAAUUCUAUUACAUAUAUCUAUAGAGAGGGAGAGAAAUCAUCAGAGACUUAAAUACUACGA
rnacentral:lncRNA from 1 species